AGAUGAGGGAACAGGCCCUUGGGGCCUUGGCCUUGGUUGGCCUGUCUGCCUAAGGCCAGCAUGGAAACAGUGGCCCAGGUCCAGAUGUUCUGUUAUUUAUCUCCUGUGCUCUCGCCUCCACCCCUGGUUAAGAGGACUGUGGACUCCUCAGACACCACAGAUUAAUUCAGGCGUCUUCUUUUUGCUCUCUGCAAAUGCGUUCUUCACAGGCACUGAGCUCAUAAGCGCUAUGAGGGAAACGAGGUCAUGGAACUGCAUCUCUCACCACAGUGACUCAUGACCACUGAUCCAUGAUGGCAGAGUAUGGCUGAUUAGCUGCACUGAAAGAGGACCAGGUCCCUGGUCCUGUGGAAGGCUGCCAUCCGAGUAUCCAAUUCCCGCGCCUGACAUUGCCAUGGCCACCAGAGGGGAAGACUUCUCUUUAGCCUUUGGAAAACAAGAAAUGCUUAUUCUCAGGAAAGUAUGAUUUCUUCUGCCCCUGAACUUUUAAAGGCACUUUGCUGGUUCCCAUGACUGUUGUGCUCUGAUGAGCUUCAGCAAUCAGAAUAUUUUGCUUAUUUUUAACAUUGAGGAAAUGGAUCAUUCUUUGACGUAGCAGCAGAGGCAAUUUUAGAAGGCAAAACUGCAGUGAUAAUAACAUAUUAUAAUAAAGCCACCACAUAUUUACUGGAUGUCAUACCGUUUUUAAGCAUUUUCAUAGCACUACCUAAUUUGAGUGGGAGAAAAGGCUGGCCGGGUUGUAAACCCAUGUCGUUGGCUUAUCGGAUCCUUGCUCACACUCAUCACUGCUGUUUUAUUCUACCAGCAACAGAAGGAUGCAGAUGGAGAAGAGUGGCCUUGCCUCAUUCAGCUGAACUUUGUUUUUCUGGUUCACAUUUGAAGUAGCAUCGAAGCGAAGGCCUCAGUGCAGCCUCUCCAAUUUCCCCCUGAGAUACCUAAGUCACAGAGAAUAAAAACUCACUCAAGUGCCUCAAACUGGAACCUCAAGAAACAGAAUCUGGGAGAAAUUUCCACUAUUAGAAAGGCUGUUGGAAUUAAAAUAAACAGUAACCUAGCCAUGCUUAAUUUUAUAAAACAAAGAAGCCCUAUCCCCAUGAAAAAAAGAUAAGGACACAUCAUUCCCUCUUCUUUACAUGUCCCCCUGGCUCAGACUCAGGGCCCGAAUAAAGCAUGAAAAGGGUUAUAGUACUCUCUGUCUCUCUUUUUUAAAGAUUUUAUUUAUUUAUUUAUUACUUACUUAGAGUCCGUGUGUACAUGAGCAGGGGGAGGGGGAGAGGGAGAGGGAGAGAGAGAGUCUCAAGCAGACUCUGUUCUGAACAUGGAGCCUGACAUGGAGCUCCAUCUCAUGACCCCUGAGAUCAUGACCUGAACCGAAAUCAAGAGUCGGCUGCUUAAUUGACUGAGCCACCCGGGUGCCCCUCUAGUACUUGCUGCUACAUGGACUAGUUUAGAGGUGACCAGGUUCCUAGCCCCUAAUUGACCCCAACAUAAUUAUACUGGCAUAAGCAUUCUGUGACUUCCAGGAAACAACAAAGGAGGAAAUGUGAAGUGGGAGGGAUGUAGGACAUGUGUGUAUGUGUUGGGGGAGGUUGGGAUGGGGAUAAGAGACUGGUGGUAGCUCAGUGUCAUCUGGAAGGUACAGCCUUUGGAUGUGAAGUAUAAUGGGCGUGGGCUGGUAGAGAUACAUGAUGGGGAGAGAAUGCUCAGAAAUACUGCACUGAUUCAGAGUUGCAGAAACCUGGCCAGCUGAGGAGGAGACACAUCUUGGUACAGGAGAGCCACACUAGGAAUUGGAUGGGAUGUCUUGCAUUUCAAACUGCUGCUCUUACUGAUGAUCCAAAUGGGGGACUGACCUCUCCGCAAGGACAGUUGAGCCAAUGCCUCUUCUGAUGAAGAUGACUGGGGAGCCCACCUGUGUGCUCAGGGUAUGGGGAGGUGCAUGUCUAUUUCCUCAGUGCCUUAAGAUCAGGAAUCUGGCUGAUUGUAUUUCAGGUAGGCACUUGAUAUUUGUUAAAGAAACAAGGCAACGCUGAGUCUGGAUAGAGAGGAUGAGUAAGGAGGAUAAAAAUUACAUAUAUGUGUGUGUUAGAAAAAGAGAGAACUAUACUAAAAGCACACAGAAGUACAAUAGGGAGCAACCACCAUUUGAGGGAUUCAGAGGCAGAGAUUACAUCUUGUGUGCUAUACACUGAAUUCAUGGCAAAAGGCUCACAAAAAACUAAGAAGGUCAAAGUAUAUUGGUGAAGGACACAGAAUCCACAAUGACAUCAAAAGUUAUGAAACUCUAUGUAGUAAAUAACCUAACAUAAAAAUACGUAAGGCAAAACUAUUAAACAAUAUAAAGAGAAAUUGGGAGAAACAGGACUGUUAUUGUUAUGAGAGACUUAAAUGCACAUUUUUCAGCCUACGACUGAUCAAAUACGUAAAAUCAAAUAACACUAUGGAAGGAUGUUAACGAUCAUAGAGCUGUACCAACAGAUAUACAUCUAACUUUCUGUCCUUCAAAGAAUAUACCUCCUUCUCAGGAGUCCGUACAAAAACUUGUGAUACAGUAAGUCACAUAGAAAAAUCUCAGUAAAUCUCUCAUGGAAGUGAAUGAAUUUUUAAACAUUAAAGCCAGUAUAGGGUAGAAAAAGAAAAAUUAAAACUCUAUAAAACAAAACUGAAAGAAAAAAAGUUAAACUUGGGAAAAUCAGCCUUAUUUAUAAUAGCAGAAAUAGGAAAUAACACCAAUGUAUCAGUCCCCUAGCUUGCUGCCUUAUUACCAACACCGGUAUAGACACACACCCAUACAUGUAUACAUAAACAGAGUCAUCUCAUUACUAGUAAUAGUAGUAGCAGGGCUGGGGCCAAUUCUAGAUAUCAAAAAAUAAUAUAGCGAGAUUUAACUUGUGCUGGGAAAGUUUCCUUCCACUGCAAGUAUGUUCUCUAACCAGGUGUUUUUCAUCCGAGAUUCUACCAUUAGAAAUUCACUUUAAUACAUUAAGCAAUGUACUUUCUAGGCACAUCUUUCGGAGGCUAAAGAUACCUGAGAAGAGUACUGAAUCAAGUCAUUAACACCUCAGCAGGAAUUCCAGGUAUUAUGAAGUGCACCUUUUCCAGGUUCAGGCCCCAGGGAGGAGUGAAGGUUUUGCUGGUGUCAAUGGAAGGAACAGUGUGUCAUUUCACUGAUGGCUUCUCUAGAUUGUGAUUAUAUCAAAUAUCUGAGGGGAAUGUUUGGGAGAGGGAACCAGUUAUGAUGAAAAACAAAUAAUAUAUAAUAGAUCUCCAAUAUUUAUUUGUUUUCCUGUGAUUGUAUCACUCAAGUGUGGUACAGAAAAAUUUAGUUCAAUAAAGCCUUGAUUGAUUCUAUACACAUUUAUAUAUAAUCUGGUACAUUUACUGUAUUUUGUUCAUUAUAUUUAUAUUUAAAUCUGACUUCGGACUGUGCUAAGUAGCUAUACUCGGAGUUCUCAAUCUUGGGAGCUAAAAAAGGUUAGGGUAUUAAGGAGGGCACGUGUUGUGAUGAGCACUGGGUGUUAUACCCAACUAAUGAAUCGUUGAACACUACAUCAAAAACUAAUGAUGUACUAUACAUUGGCUAACUGAACAUAAUAAAAAAUAAAUUAAUUUAAAAAAUAAAAAAAUUUUAAAAGGUUAGGGAGGUUGGGAGGGUUAUUGUCUUUUCCUUAGCACUGAAAAUGACUGCAUAGUACAGAAAUAAUAAUACCUUACAUUUGAUAUCACUUCCAUAUGUGUGAGCUCAAAAUUCUCACACAUGCAUUAUCAUAGCCUUCUGGGUAGCAGCUGAACUCAGGAUUUUCACCUAUUAGGAUGUUAAUUUUGUUAGGGUUAAUUGGAAUUGUUUCCUG